rnacentral:rRNA from 1 species
CUACGGGUGGCUCCAGUAGGGAAUUUUCGGCAAUGGGGGAAACCCUGACCGAGCAACGCCGCGUGAAGGAAGAAGGAAUUCGUUUCGUAAACUUCUGUUAUAAAGGAAGAAAGAUGAUAUCAGGAAAUGGAUGUCAAGUGACGGUACUUUAUGAGAAAGCCACGGCUAACUACGUGCCAGCAGCCGCGGUAAUACGUAGGUGGCAAGCGUUAUCCGGAAUUAUUGGGCGUAAAGAGGGAGCAGGCGGUAACAAAGGUCUGUGGUGAAAGCCUGAAGCUUAACUUCAGUAAGCCAUAGAAACCAGGUAACUAGAGUGCAAGAGAGGAUCGUGGAAUUCCAUGUGUAGCGGUGAAAUGCGUAGAUAUAUGGAGGAACACCAGUGGCGAAGGCGACGAUCUGGCUUGUAACUGACGCUGAGUCCCGAAAGCGUGGGGAGCAAAUAGGAUUAGAUACCCGGGUAGUC